CUCUUUGCUGAUAGAGAUCAGCCGCCAACACCAACUCACUCCCCAUCGCCAUUUUUGUUUUUAUUUCUCUUCGUCAACAGCCAUCUUCCUUGUUGUGAGCUAAGACAUGUACUUUGAACCUCCUUCUCCUCCUCUGUCCUCCGUCUCCCUUUCUCUUCGCGACGAAGCAGCAGAACAGAGUAGUCUAGUGGUUCCUCUAUUUCUUACCGGCAAGCAGAGCAACGACGACACCUUUCUCCUUUCAUCUCUAGUCGACGGCGACGACUAGAUCGUGACCGGCAAGCUUCUAGCGACGAAGUUUCCUCCCGCGGUGGUUGGACCAAAAGCAGUUGCGGCGGCUGGACCUCCUUCGGUGAGCAGCGGCUAUGGGCGGUGGAGGUUCGCGGUGUUUGUGACUUGAGCUGUGGUUGCCGGUAGUGUGGUGUGGUUAGGAGGGGUGGUGUCGAAGCUUCCCUUUUCCGGCAAAGUUGUGGACGAAGCUGAGGUGAGGUUCUUGUUGAAGUGACUAACUUAUAAGUUGAGCCUAGAUUGGGUGCUGGCUUUGAGAGCUUAGCUUGAGGCACAGAUGAUUAGCCACCGGAGCGCACUAGAGGACCUCGGCUUAGAUAGUUAGUCUUUUUUUUUCGGCCUGCGUGCCUUGAUGAUGUAAUGACGUGUUUGAGGAUAAUUA